ensembl:piRNA 21ur-1085 ncRNA
UUAGCGAGUAAGUGUGCGUUA